UCAAUGUCCAAUGACAACUGACUAGUUGCAUUUACAAAUGUCCGAUUCCAAGACCCUUGCAACAAUGAUGGAAGUCGUCGGACUUCCUCAGAAUGGUUUUUGACAGGAAAGGGAGUAGAGCUGUUGAAAUCUGGAAUCACAGUCCAAUCGAGUAUGCAACCACAAUCCUUCAACUACUUCAUUUAAUAAGUCCAUUUGUUGCUGAAAUAUAGCCAAACCAGUUCCAAUGAAUCCUUGUUCUGGACAAUAAAGUCUCCGCUUGUGCACCAAGACACAUCCUGGAGUUCUCUCUGCUGCUUCAGUGUUGGGGUCCCAAUUCGGUCUCCUCAGUGGAAACCCAGCUUCAAGCUGUUCAGGGAUAGUGGUAGGUCUAUAAAUGUACCUGCAACCAUAAUUAGGUGGAGCAGAAGAAAAGGGAGAAUACCUGGACCAAAAGGUUAUUAUCAUGAACAAUAUGCUGGAAAACUUACAUGGUCAAACAAUAUGAAUACAUUUUGUAUACCAGAUAUGAAUUCUUAUGUCCUGAAAUGUAGCUUUGUAUCAAAAGGAUCUUCCCUUUUUUUUUUUAACAGAAAAUAACCAUCAGAAACAUAUUAUAAUAACAUUUCUACAAUUCAGACCUUUGAUAACCAACAAAAUAUUCCCAACAACAUUUAACAAGAUAUUUUUAUAAGGCUAUAAAAAAUUAUUUUGGUGGCUCCCAUUAGUGAACAAAGAGCAGAAUAAAUUUUCUGAGCAGCUGCUUCUU
rnacentral:lncRNA from 1 species